rnacentral:rRNA from 1 species
UGAGGACAGUGCCUGGUGGGUAGUUUGACUGGGGCGGUCUCCUCCCAAAGAGUAACGGAGGAGCACGAAGGUGGGCUAAUCACGGUUGGACAUCGUGAGGUUAGUGCAAUGGCAUAAGCCCGCUUAACUGCGAGAAUGACGGUUCGAGCAGGUGCGAAAGCAGGUCAUAGUGAUCCGGUGGUUCUGUAUGGAAGGGCCAUCGCUCAACGGAUAAAAGGUACUCCGGGGAUAACAGGCUGAUACCGCCCAAGAGUUCAUAUCGACGGCGGUGUUUGGCACCUCGAUGUCGGCUCAUCACAUCCUGGGGCUGAAGUCGGUCCCAAGGGUAUGGCUGUUCGCCAUUUAAAGUGGUACACGCGAGCUGGGUUUAGAACGUCGUGAGACAGUUCGGUCCCUAUCUGCCGUGGGCGUUGGAAGAUUGAAGGGGGCUGCUCCUAGUACGAGAGGACCGGAGUGGACGAACCUCUGGUGUUCGGGUUGUGUCGCCAGACGCAUUGCCCGGUAGCUAAGUUCGGAAUUGAUAAGCGCUGAAAGCAUCUAAGCGCGAAGCGAGCCCUGAGAUGAGUCUUCCCUGAUACUUUAAGUAUCCUAAAGGGUUGUUCGAGACUAGAACGUUGAUAGGCAGGGUGUGUAAGCGUUGUGAGGCGUUGAGCUAACCUGUACUAAUUGCCCGUGAGGCUUAACCAUACAACACCCAAGGGGUUUUGUA